AUAAAAUAGGCAAGGAAUUGGAGUGGAAGAGCAGAUCAAAGAGAUAUUAUCAGUUUAAUAUUUGAUAUGUCCUCUAUCUGAGGACAACAUAUUAAAUGGAUUUUUGGAGCAGGUAAAUGGAAUAGAAACUUGCUCUAUCCACUUCAUGCAUCGACCUGGUAUUUCAGUUCCUCCAGGAAGAGUGUGCUCCCU